rnacentral:rRNA from 1 species
GUAAAGCUCUGUUGUAUAGGCAGAACACACCUCCUAGUUGAAUCGCCUCGCCACCUUGACGUUACCCUAACCAGAAAGCCCCGGCUAACUCCGUGCCCAGCAGCCGCGGUAAUACGUAGGUGGCCAAGCGUUAUCCGGAAUUAUUGGGCGUAAAGCGCGCGCAGGUGGUUUUUUAAGUCUGAUGUGAAAUCCCCCGGCUCAACCGGGGAGGGUCAUUGGAAACUGGGAGACUAGAGUGCAGAAGAGGAAGGUGGAAUUCCAUGUGUAGCGGUGAAAUGCGUAGAGAUAUGGAGGAACACCAGUGGCGAAGGCGUCUUUCUUGGUCUGAAACUGACACUGAGGGCGCGAAAGCGUGGGGAGCAAACAGGAUUAGAUACCCUGGUAGUCCACGCCGUAAACGAUGAGUGCUAAGUGUUAGAGGGUUUCCGCCCUUUAGUGCUGAAGUUAACGCAUAAAGCGCUCCCCUGGGGGAGUACGGCCCCAAGGUUAAAACUCAAAGGAAUUGAGGGGGGCCCCCACAAGGGGUGGAGCAUGGGGUUAAAUUGGAAGAAACGGAAAGACCUUUCCCAGGUCUUGACUUCCUGUAACAACCCAAGAGAUAGGUGUUCCCUUUGGGGAGCAGAGUGACAGGUGGUCCAUGGUGUUCGUCAGCUCGUUUCGUGAGAUGUUGGGUUAAGUCCCGCAAGGAGCGCAACCCUUGAUUUUAGUUGCCAUCAUUUAGUUGGGCACUCUAAGGUGACUGCCGGUGACAAACCGGAGGAAGGUGGGGAUGACGUCAAAUCAUCAUGCCCCUUAUGACC